rnacentral:rRNA from 1 species
UGAAGUCGGAAUCGCUAGUAAUCGCGGAUCAGCAUGCCGCGGUGAAUACGUUCCCGGGCCUUGUACACACCGCCCGUCACACCAUGAGAGUCGGGAACACCCGAAGCCCGUAGCCUAACUUUCACGAGAGGGCGCGGUCGAAGGUGGGUUCGAUAAUUGGGGUGAAGUCGUAACAAGGUAAC